UUAAGCGACUAAGCGUACACGGUGGAUGCCCUGGCAGUCAGAGGCGAUGAAGGACGUGCUAAUCUGCGAAAAGCGUCGGUAAGGUGAUAUGAACCGUUAUAACCGGCGAUGUCCGAAUGGGGAAACCCAGUGCAAUUCGUUGCACUAUCGUUAACUGAAUACAUAGGUUAACGAGGCGAACCGGGGGAACUGAAACAUCUAAGUACCCCGAGGAAAAGAAAUCAACCGAGAUUCCCCCAGUAGCGGCGAGCGAACGGGGAGCAGCCCAGAGUCUGAAUCAGCUUGUGUGUUAGUGGAACGGUCUGGAAAGUCCGACGGUACAGGGUGAUAGUCCCGUACACCAAAAUGCACAGGUUGUGAACUCGAAGAGUAGGGCGGGACACGUGGUAUCCUGUCUGAAUAUGGGGGGACCAUCCUCCAAGGCUAAAUACUCCUGACUGACCGAUAGUGAACCAGUACCGUGAGGGAAAGGCGAAAAGAACCCCGGCGAGGGGAGUGAAAAAGAACCUGAAACCGUGUACGUACAAGCAGUGGGAGCACCUUCGGGUGUGACUGCGUACCUUUUGUAUAAUGGGUCAGCGACUUAUAUUCUGUAGCAAGGUUAACCGUAUAGGGGAGCCGCAGGGAAACCGAGUCUUAACUGGGCGUUAAGUUGCAGGGUAUAGACCCGAAACCCGGUGAUCAGCCAUGGGCAGGUUGAAGGUUGGGUAACACUAACUGGAGGACCGAACCGACUAAUGUUGAAAAAUUAGCGGAUGACUUGUGGCUGGGGGUGAAAGGCCAAUCAAACCGGGAGAUAGCUGGUUCUCCCCGAAAGCUAUUUAGGUAGCGCCUCGUGAACUCAUCUUCGGGGGUAGAGCACUGUUUCGGCUAGGGGGUCAUCCCGACUUACCAACCCGAUGCAAACUACGAAUACCGAAGAAUGUUAUCACGGGAGACACACGGCGGGUGCUAACGUCCGUCGUGAAGAGGGAAACAACCCAGACCGCCAGCUAAGGUCCCAAAGUCAUGGUUAAGUGGGAAACGAUGUGGGAAGGCACAGACAGCCAGGAUGUUGGCUUAGAAGCAGCCAUCAUUUAAAGAAAGCGUAAUAGCUCACUGGUCGAGUCGGCCUGCGCGGAAGAUGUAACGGGGCUAAACCAUGCACCGAAGCUGCGGCAGCGACACUAUGUGUUGUUGGGUAGGGGAGCGUUCUGUAAGCCUGCGAAGGUGUGCUGUGAGGCAUGCUGGAGGUAUCAGAAGUGCGAAUGCUGACAUAAGUAACGAUAAAGCGGGUGAAAAGCCCGCUCGCCGGAAGACCAAGGGUUCCUGUCCAACGUUAAUCGGGGCAGGGUGAGUCGACCCCUAAGGCGAGGCCGAAAGGCGUAGUCGAUGGGAAACAGGUUAAUAUUCCUGUACUUGGUGUUACUGCGAAGGGGGGACGGAGAAGGCUAUGUUAGCCGGGCGACGGUUGUCCCGGUUUAAGCAUGUAGGCUGAUUGUCCAGAGGCAAAUCCGGAUAAUCAAGGCUGAGGUGUGAUGACGAGGCACUACGGUGCUGAAGUAACAAAUGCCCUGCUUCCAGGAAAAGCCUCUAAGCAUCAGGUAACAUUAAAUCGUACCCCAAACCGACACAGGUGGUCAGGUAGAGAAUACCAAGGCGCUUGAGAGAACUCGGGUGAAGGAACUAGGCAAAAUGGUGCCGUAACUUCGGGAGAAGGCACGCUGGUGUGUAGGUGAAGUCCCUGCGGAUGGAGCUGAGACCAGUCGAAGAUACCAGCUGGCUGCAACUGUUUAUUAAAAACACAGCACUGUGCAAACACGAAAGUGGACGUAUACGGUGUGACGCCUGCCCGGUGCCGGAAGGUUAAUUGAUGGGGUUAUCCGUAAGGAGAAGCUCUUGAUCGAAGCCCCGGUAAACGGCGGCCGUAACUAUAACGGUCCUAAGGUAGCGAAAUUCCUUGUCGGGUAAGUUCCGACCUGCACGAAUGGCGUAAUGAUGGCCAGGCUGUCUCCACCCGAGACUCAGUGAAAUUGAACUCGCUGUGAAGAUGCAGUGUACCCGCGGCAAGACGGAAAGACCCCGUGAACCUUUACUAUAGCUUGACACUGAACAUUGAGCCUUGAUGUGUAGGAUAGGUGGGAGGCUUUGAAGCGUGGACGCCAGUCUGCGUGGAGCCAACCUUGAAAUACCACCCUUUAAUGUUUGAUGUUCUAACGUUGGCCCCUGACCGGGGUUGCGGACAGUGUCUGGUGGGUAGUUUGACUGGGGCGGUCUCCUCCCAAAGCGUAACGGAGGAGCACGAAGGUUAGCUAAUCCGGUCGGACAUCAGGAGGUUAGUGCAAUGGCAUAAGCUAGCUUGACUGCGAGCGUGACGGCGCGAGCAGGUGCGAAAGCAGGUCAUAGUGAUCCGGUGGUUCUGAAUGGAAGGGCCAUCGCUCAACGGAUAAAAGGUACUCCGGGGAUAACAGGCUGAUACCGCCCAAGAGUUCAUAUCGACGGCGGUGUUUGGCACCUCGAUGUCGGCUCAUCACAUCCUGGGGCUGAAGUAGGUCCCAAGGGUAUGGCUGUUCGCCAUUUAAAGUGGUACGCGAGCUGGGUUUAGAACGUCGUGAGACAGUUCGGUCCCUAUCUGCCGUGGGCGCUGGAGAAUUGAGGGGGGCUGCUCCUAGUACGAGAGGACCGGAGUGGACGCAUCACUGGUGUUCGGGUUGUCAUGCCAAUGGCACUGCCCGGUAGCUAAAUGCGGAAGAGAUAAGUGCUGAAAGCAUCUAAGCACGAAACUUGCCCCGAGAUGAGUUCUCCCUGAGACUUUAAGUCUCCUGAAGGAACGUUGAAGACGACGACGUUGAUAGGCCGGGUGUGUAAGCGCAGCGAUGCGUUGAGCUAACCGGUACUAAUGAACCGUGAGGCUUAACCU
rnacentral:rRNA from 1 species